AGGAUAAUAGUUAAUCAUAACGUUUAAGUUGCAUUUAGAAGAUAUUGGAUAAACCAAUUUAUCUUA
rnacentral:tRNA from 1 species